GGCGAGUGAAGCGGGAAAAGCUCAAAUUUGAAAUCUGGUAGCCUCAGGCUGCCCGAGUUGUAAUCUAUAGAAACGUUUUCCGCGCUGGCCCAUGUACAAGUCUCCUGGAAUGGAGCGUCAUAGAGGGUGAGAAUCCCGUCCUUGACAUGGACUACCAGUGCUUUGUGAUACGUUUUCAAAGAGUCGAGUUGUUUGGGAAUGCAGCUCAAAAUGGGUGGUAAAUUCCAUCUAAAGCUAAAUAUUGGCGAGAGACCGAUAGCGAACAAGUACCGUGAGGGAAAGAUGAAAAGCACUUUGGAAAGAGAGUUAAACAGUAUGUGAAAUUGUUGAAAGGGAAACGAUUGAAGUCAGUCAUGUCUAUUGGACUCAGCCGGUUCUGCCGGUGUACUUCCUUUAGAUGGGGUCAACAUCAGUUUUGAUCGCUGGAAAAGGGCAGGAGGAAUGUAGCACUCUCGGGUGAACUUAUAGCCUCCUGUCGUAUACAGUGGUUGGGACUGAGGAACGCAGCAUGCCUUUAUGGCCGGGGUUCGCCCACGUACAUGCU
rnacentral:rRNA from 1 species